AACGUUCCGAAAGGAACGCUAAUACCGCAUGUGCUCUCGAUUUUUAGAAAGUUGAGAGUAAAGGAUUUAUUCGCUUUGAGAGGAGCCUGCGUCCCAUCAGCUAGUUGGUAGGGUAAUAGCCUACCAAGGCUUUGACGGGUAGGGGACCUGAGAGGGUGGCCCCCCACAAUGGAACUGAAACACGGUCCAUACACCUACGGGUGGCAGCAGUAGGGAAUAUUAGAAAUGGACGAAAGUCUGAUCUAGCGACACCGCGUGUGCGAUGAAGGCCUUCGGGUUGUAAAGCACUUUUUGGAAGGAAUAGGAAGGAAGGUACUUCCAGAAUAAGUCUCGGCUAACUACGUGCCAGCAGCCGCGGUAACACGUAGGAGGCAAACGUUAUCCGGAUUUACUGGGCGUAAAGCGCGUGUAGGUGGUUCUGUAAGUAGGGCGUGAAAGCUCCUGGCUCAACUGGGAGAGGCCGUUCUAAACUACAGAGCUAGAGGAUGGUAGAGGGAGGUGGAAUUCCAGGUGUAGCGGUGGAAUGCGCAGAUAUCUGGAGGAACACCAGUGGCGAAGGCGGCCUCCUGGACCAUUCCUGACACUCAGACGCGAAAGCUAGGGUAGCAAACGGGAUUAGAGACCCCGGUAGUCCUAGCCCUAAACGAUG
rnacentral:rRNA from 1 species